rfam:Spirochaetes bacterium GWC1_61_12 gwc1_scaffold_509, whole genome shotgun sequence.
GGGGAUGUAGCUCAGUUGGCUAGAGCGCUUGAAUGGCAUUCAAGAGGUCGUCGGUUCAAUUCCGAUCAUCUCCA